AGGUCAUUUCAAAGAGGGCUUGUUGGGCUGAAACCAAAAGCUCUUAACGCUGUGACCAAAGAUAGAUGUUCUCCACAGAAUAAAACAGGCACUUGAUAGUGCUAUGUUUUUCUGAGAAGAUACAUGC
ensembl:snoRNA small nucleolar RNA SNORA25